AGUUUUGUUGGGCAUUCGGUGGAUGCCUUGGUAUCAAGAGCUGAUGAAGGACGUUGCGGCCUGCGAUAUGCCUCGGGGAGUUGGCGAGCGAGCGUUAUUAUCCGAGGGUGUCCGAAUGGGGGAACCUAACCUGGGUUGUGCUGGGUUACCAUCAUCUGAACGUGUAUAGGGUGGUGGGGGGAACGCGGGGAAGUGAAACAUCUUAGUACCCGUAGGAGAAGAUAUUCCGUGAGUAGUGGCGAGCGAAAGCGGAGGAGGCUAAACCAGAUGCGUGUGAUAGGCGGCGGCUGUUGCGUGUUUGGUGUUGUGGGGCCAUGUUGGAUCCUUCUGCCGGGGGGUCGCGUUGCAUUGUGUUGGGAGUUGAACAGUCUGGGAUGGCUGACCGGAGAGCGUGAUAGUCGUGUAGAUGGACUGGUGUGGUGUGGCGUGGAUGUGGUGCCCGAGUAGUGCGGGACUCGUGGAAUCUCGUGUGAAUCUGCCAAGACCACUUGGUAAGCCUAAAUACUACUUGAUGACCGAUAGUGCAUAGUACCGUGAGGGAAUGGUGAAAAGUACCCCGGGAGGGGAGUGAAAUAGUACCUGAAACCGUGUGCCUGUAAGCCGUCAGAGCCUUGUGGGGUGAUGGCGUGCCUUUUGAAGAAUGAGCCUGCGAGUUAGUGAUGCGUGGCGUGCUUAACCCGUGUGGGGUAUGCGUAGCGAAAGCGAGUCUGAAAUAUUGGCGUUUGUCGCGUGUUCUAGACCCGAAGCGGGGUGAUCUACCCAUGGUCAGGUUGAAGCAGAGGUAAGACUGUGUGGAGGACCGAACCCACCAGGGUUGAAAACCUGGGGGAUGAACUGUGGGUAGGGGUGAAAGGCCAAUCAAACUCCGUGAUAGCUGGUUCUCCCCGAAAUGCAUUUAGGUGCAGCGUCGUGUGGUUCCUGGUGGAGGUAGAGCUACUGGAUGGCUGAUGGGCCCUGUGGGUUACUGACGUCAGCUAAACUCCGAAUGCCAUUAGGUGUAGCGCGGCAGUGAGACUGCGGGGGAUAAGCUUCGUAGUCGAGAGGGAAACAGCCCAGAUCAUCAGCUAAGGCCCCUAAGUGUACGCUCAGUGGGAAAGGAUGUGGAGUCGCGGUGACAACCAGGAGGUUGGCUUAGAAGCAGCCAUCCUUGAAAGAGUGCGUAAUAGCUCACUGGUCAAGUGGUUUCGCGCCGACAAUGUAGCGGGGCUUAAGCGUAUCGCCGAAGCUGUGGCAGCAACACGUGAUGCUGGCGCCGCCUUGGA
rnacentral:rRNA from 2 species